AAAGAGAAGAAAAAAAGAAAUAGUAACAUAUAUAUUGAUAGCAAUAGUAGUAAUACAACAGAAUAAUUCUAAUCAUAUUUAUAAUUAUGUUAGCUUAUUUGUAAUCCUAUUGAUUAUAUUAGCAUACUUAUAAACAAUGUUUAUGUUUUAUUU